GAUGAACGCUAGCGGCAGGCUUAAUACAUGCAAGUCGAGGGGCAGCGCAGUGUAGCAAUACAUGGGCGGCGACCGGCAAACGGGUGCGGAACACGUACGCAACCUUCCUUUAAGUGGGGGAUAGCCCAGGGAAACUUGGAUUAAUACCCCGUAAUAUUAUGAAGUGGCAUAACUUUAUACUUAUAGCUCCGGCGCUUAAAGAUGGGCGUGCGACUGAUUAGGUAGUUGGCGGGGUAACGGCCCACCAAGCCUGCGAUCAGUAACUGGUGUGAGAGCACGACCAGUCGCACGGGCACUGAGACACGGGCCCGACUCCUACGGGAGGCAGCAGUAAGGAAUAUUGGUCAAUGGACGCAAGUCUGAACCAGCCAUGCCGCGUGGAGGAUGAAGGUCCUCUGGAUUGUAAACUUCUUUUAUUUGGGAAGAAACCCACUGUUUCUACGGUGGUUGACGGUACCAGAUGAAUAAGCACCGGCUAACUCCGUGCCAGCAGCCGCGGUAA
rnacentral:rRNA from 1 species